UACGUAGGGGGCAAGCGUUGUCCGGAUUCAUUGGGCGUAAAGAGCUCGUAGGCGGUGUGUCACGUCGGCCGUGAAAACCUGCAGCUUAACUGUGGGCGUGCGGUCGAUACGGGCAUCACUGGAGUUCGGCAGGGGAGACUGGAAUUCCUGGUGUAGCGGUGAAAUGCGCAGAUAUCAGGAGGAACACCGGUGGCGAAGGCGGGUCUCUGGGCCGAUACUGACGCUGGAGGAGCGGAAAGCCGUGGGGAGCAAACAGG
rnacentral:rRNA from 1 species